rnacentral:rRNA from 1 species
AGCGAACGCUGGCGGCAGGCCUAACACAUGCAAGUCGAACGCCCUAGCAAUAGGGAGUGGCAGACGGGUGAGUAACGCGUGGGAAUAUCCCCCUCAGUACGGAAUAGCCCAGGGAAACUUGGAGUAAUACCGUAUACGUCCGUGAGGAGAAAGAUUUAUCGCUGAGGGAUUAGCCCGCGUAGGAUUAGCUAGUUGGUGAGGUAACGGCUCACCAAGGCGACGAUCCUUAGCUGGUCUGAGAGGACGAUCAGCCACACUGGGACUGAGACACGGCCCAGACUCCUACGGGAGGCAGCAGUGGGGAAUAUUGGACAAUGGGCGCAAGCCUGAUCCAGCCAUGCCGCGUGAGUGACGAAGGCCUUAGGGUUGUAAAGCUCUUUUGGCGGGGACGAUAAUGACGGUACCCGCAGAAUAAGCCCCGGCUAACUUCGUGCCAGCAGCCGCCGUAAAAC